rnacentral:rRNA from 1 species
AUUGAACGCUGGCGGCAGGCCUAACACAUGCAAGUCGAACGGCAGCACAGAAGAGCUUGCUCUUCGGGUGGCGAGUGGCGGACGGGUGAGUAAUGUCUGGGAAACUGCCCGAUGGAGGGGGAUAACUACUGGAAACGGUAGCUAAUACCGCAUAACGUCGCGAGACCAAAGUGGGGGACCUUCGGGCCUCACACCAUCGGAUGUGCCCAGAUGGGAUUAGCUAGUAGGUGGGGUAACGGCUCACCUAGGCGACGAUCCCUAGCUGGUCUGAGAAGAUGACCAGCCACACUGGAACUGAGACACGGUCCAGACUCCUACGGGAGGCAGCAGUGGGGAAUAUUGCACAAUGGGCGCAAGCCUGAUGCAGCCAUGCCGCGUGUAUGAAGAAGGCCUUCGGGUUGUAAAGUACUUUCAGCGGGGAGGAAGGCGAUGUGGUUAAUAACCGCGUCGAUUGACGUUACCCGCAGAAGAAGCACCGGCUAACUCCGUG